GGUACUAGUGGUGAUGGUAGGUGUGAUGGUGAUGAUGGUGAUGAGUAAUAGAAACGGUGAUGAUGGUGUUGGUACUUGUGGUGAUGAUGAGGAUUGUUGAGGUACCAAAUGGUGUUUGAAUAUGAUGGUGGUUGAGUCGUUAAGGGAUCGAUAGACAUUACAAGGCAUUUACACACAUUUAUUUCCCUCGCAGAAAUGGCGGAAGAGGAGAGGAGGGAGAGGAACACGAAUAAAGAGGAGAAAGAAGAGGAGGAACACGAAAAAGAGAAGAGGAAGAAGAAGAAGAGGACUCAAGACUCAUCUCCCAGCAGUGUGUGAGUCUUGAGGCUCCAAGCACCGACUGACUCACCAGGACUCUACAUAGCUGGGAGGGAGUCACCAGCCACAGAUGAAUCUCCACUGGUCAUCUCUCCUUACCUCUUCAGAAACCAACUUGCAGUAUUACCAAUGAAAAAAAUACUGUUC